rnacentral:lncRNA from 1 species
AAAACAUUGGACAAGCCACUUAUUUUAGGAUAUUGCAGAGCAUUGGAUGAGAAGCUUGCUGUCCAGGGCCUGGCACAGAAAGGAAGUUACUUUGUUGCAUCUAUUCUGGAGGCCUCAGGAACCAUGUUUCAUCUCUCGAAGGCCAAAAUUAAACCAGGACAGGGGAUGUUUACUUCUGGGUCCCUCAAAGCUUGAAAGGCAGGAUCUCAUCUGUGACCUCAACCCCAGAAGCUUCAGCUCAUCUUAGGAUUUGAGUACUGCAUAACUUCUAGUUCAUACAUGGACAGAAAGACACAUGGCUGUGUCACUGCCUGAUCUUCUAACGAUAACUUUAUCUGAUAUUUCACAAAAAUAUAUAAAAAUGGCCGCCAAAGAUAAAAGUGCAGCAGAAAGACAAACAGAUAAAUCUGGAAGUGAAAUUCUGGUUGAAAGUGAAUGGAGUUAUAGAAACAACACCUGAGCACAGGAAUGUUGACCCUGCUGCUCUUUUGACACUACUUGAGAAUCCAGUUAGAGGACCAAAGUGAAAGUGAAUGUAUGUCAGUAUUUAGUGGAGAAACAGAUAUAACACAAGAUGUACAAAUAUGUAUGAAUUUACAAGACUGGCUUACAAUGGCCACCCACAGAGCAGGAUGAGGAAAAGUGCAGAGGGGCUGUCUGAACACUGGGGACCAAAGGAUUUAGUCGAAGGUCCAGAGCUCACUGCAGUGUCCAGUGCCAGUCUGUAUCAGGAGUCCGAUGGGUCUGCGGUGGAAGACUGAAGAGUCUAAGCUGGAAGGCUGGAGGAUCUGCGCCAGAAGCGGAAGAGUCUGUGUUGGAAGCCAGGAG